UACGAAGGGGGCUAGCGUUGCUCGGAAUCACUGGGCGUAAAGCGCACGUAGGCGGAUUGCUAAGUCAGGGGUGAAAUCCUGUGGCUCAACCACAGAAUUGCCUUCGAUACUGUAGAGCUUGAGACCGGAAGAGGUAAGUGGAACUGCGAGUGUAGAGGUGAAAUUCGUAGAUAUUCGCAAGAACACCAGUGGCGGAAGGCG
rnacentral:rRNA from 1 species